rnacentral:rRNA from 1 species
GACGUAGGGCGCGAGCGUUGUCCGGAUUUAUUGGGCGUAAAGAGCUCGUAGGCGGUUUGUCGCGUCUGCUGUGAAAACCCGAGGCUCAACCUCGGGCCUGCAGUGGGUACGGGCAGACUAGAGUGCGGUAGGGGGAGAUUGGAAUUCCUGGUGUAGCGGUGGAAUGCGCAGAUAUCGGGAGGAACACCAAUGGCGAAGGCAGCUCGCUGGGACGGUACUGACGCUGAGACGCGAAAGCGUGGGGAGCAAACAGG